UACGGAGGGGGCUAGCGUUGUUCGGAAUUACUGGGCGUAAAGCGCGCGUAGGCGGACCUGCAAGUCGGGUGUGAAAGCCCGAGGCUCAACCUCGGAACUGCCUUCGAUACUGCGGGUCUCGAGUCCGGGAGAGGUGAGUGGAAUUCCUAGUGUAGAGGUGAAAUUCGUAGAUAUUAGGAAGAACACCAGUGGCGAAGGCGGCUCACUGGCCCGGUACUGACGCUGAGGCGCGAAAGCGUGGGGAGCAAACAGG
rnacentral:rRNA from 1 species